rnacentral:lncRNA from 1 species
AAACGCCUGGUUUUGUCUAUUAGUUCAUGUAUUCUUGAAGUUCUCAUAUUUGGUGCUCGAUUCAUUUCUUAGCUCCCACUUAUCAUAGUUACAAUGCAUCUUGACGGUGGGCUGUGUGUUGAUCCAUUCAUUGUCUAUACUUAUCUGCAUGUGUAUAUCAACAAGCUUCUUUUUCUUGCAUACAUAUUCCUGAAAUGAUCAAAUAUUUCAGAAAAACAUCCUGGUGGCUUUAGAAGAUGCUGGAGUGUUAAGCAUGGUCAAAGACAAGGUAUCAACUAAUCAUUGUUCAACUCCAUAGAAGUCCAAAUCCAUUUAUAAUACCUUCAUGGAGUUCUUGUUAGUGUGAUUGUUUUACAAUGG